GCAGAUAUGAUGCUCACCCUUGCAGAUAGCCACAGGCCGAGGUGGUCAGGUAAGAAUUCACCUGGCCUGUGGGUCUGUGCACGGGGGCUGUGCAGGAUGCAGUACCAAUACGCAGGACAGGCAAGGACUGAACCAGCAGGAUGGUCGAGGGAUAGCCGAGGUCAAAGGAUGCCAGAGGACAGGAACAACGAGGAGUAGCCGAAGUCAAGGGAUGCCAGAAGUCAGAAUAAACGAGUCAGGAAGCCGGGGUCAAUAAUGCGAAGCGAUGAAACAGGAACACUGGAACAAACAGGAUCAAAGACUUGACACUGAGCACAGGGCGAGGCUGGGUUUAUAUACCCUGCUGAUGACUGAUCAGAGUCAGGUGAAACACAGCCAAGUCAAGGUGCAGCCCCCAGAGUAGUAGCCAUGUCAGGAUGAACAGGACUGGAAUCAGUCUUCACUGUAAAUAGCUGCUGUGGCUCAGAGGUAGAAAGCAGGACCAGGACUGAGAAGAUCCCGGUUCAAGUCCCCUGUUGGGAACUCCAAGAGCGACCACGUCUUGCUGUCUGUCUAUCAGGUGAGAACCGUGACAGUACCCCCCCCUUUAAAAACGACCUCUGGGCGU